AAUAUCAGUAGUUAGUAGUGUAAGUAUAGUAUAGUAUAGUAUACAGUCUUUAUGUAAGCUUGUAAAUUUCAUAGUUGUUCACCGAUAUAGUAAUAUAUGUACGUAUUGUACUUCAAAUUGAUAUAUCUACAUUCAUAUGAUGUGAAAAUCAAUACCAUAAUUGUGAUAGGCUGAUCCAUAAAAAAAUUUUUGGAUUUUAUCUCACCGCUGGCCUUAAAUGAUAAAAACAGGUGAGCGUAAUAACCGUCAUGUUGCACCCUUGUUGUAUGGGCAUUCUAUGGGCAUUCUAUUGAUAUAUGGUUAAUAAAGAAUCCGACGGUUAAAGGGUUAAUUCAAUUAUGCUAAUUAGUCCCAUAAAUGGUGAUGACGUCAUGCCACUUUCAGAAAGAGAAGUGCAAAUACGGUCAUAGCUAGGUACUAGUAUCCUUGAUGGGGUUAUUGUAUUCUUGAGAUACACAAAAUAGCCUACCUCACUAAAGAAGCUAGCAAAACAUAAUCACUACUUACCACUCUUACCUUGUUUUAAGUCCGCCGUAUUUGUUAAUAGUUCUAGCAGCUAGCUAAGCAAAUACAUUGCCUUAUGGCGUCACAUGCAAUGAAUAACAUUAACACUACAUGAUCUACAUGAUCUACAUAAAAUGUUGGCAAUGAAUAAAAUUAAUCUUAUCAGUGCCUGACCCAGGCCUUAACUGUGCAAAUGAUGGAAGUAAAUGAGUAGGUUAUUGGAGGUUAUUGGAGGUAGAGAAACCCAACUAGCUAUGGAACAGCUAGCGUAUGAAUACACAUUAGUAGAAAAACCACCCGAACCUAGCCUCAAAGAAUUCGUCGAUAAUUAUUGGUGAAAUCGCACCACUUAGUUUUAACACUUAGUUUUAACAGGAAGUGUUUUCAAAAACGAAAGGAAGUGCAAUUCAAGAAAUUGUUCCCCAAGUUGUAGCUACACAACCCUCUUAUCUGCUAACCUUGUGUAUCUCCAGUGCUUGUGUAUCUCCAGUGUAACAAUUUCUUAGUCGCUUGCAGUAAGUUAAAAGCGAUAUAUUUUUUAUAGUUGGCUAACUUUUUUAAAAGGAGAGGAGAUAUGACUGAUAUAGUCAAGUAGUAGCUACUUAGCUAGCUGCCUUGUGUUUGUAUCAGGUACCAGGAUACAUACUGCAAGCACGGUGUACUGCACUUGGUAUUGUACAUGUGUAUACGUACGUAAGUGUAUAGAUCUAUGUGUGCGUAUCGUCAGUUCUUAAUUUUCUUCGUUUCACAGAUGUUCAGAGCCACAUUGGUAGGAGCCACGUGAAUGAAGUUCUCUUUCAUUAUGCAUGCAUUCUCUUUCAUUAUGCAGCCAAGUUAUGCAGCCAAGUUGCAUCUGCCAUUGUUUCGCCGGUGGACCAAAGCCUUUAUCCCAUCUACGCUUUACCCCAUCUACGCAGCCAAGGAAUGUGCUUGAACAUGAUGUGCAUAGCUGGCUCGAGCACUGUCUUCUGCCCUGACCCUAAGAUCAAGCUCAUUUUCAAUAAGAAGAUGCCAAGCAGACACACCUGUAGAAAGGUGUAUUAAAGAGUCUCAUCUGGCAGAAGCUGUACAAGGCCAGUCAAGAAGACUACGGCAGUCUCAAUAGUAUCUUCGCACGUAUUGGACGCUCGAAAGCUAAGAAGCCAAAGGAUGACAUGCACUCAUGUCAAGAAUCUCUGCUCAUUGUGUUCAAAGGGCACAUUGUGACAGCGGGCUGCAAGGAGACGUGGAAUAGUACACAACAUACCUGACUGAGAACAUUAUGCCACCAACAUUAUGCACACUAGGUCCUACAAGGAGGUCAACCAGGAUCUGUUGAAGAGUGUGGCACAGAAAGUGGUCAAGGAGUUCACAGUGAUCCCUGAGGCGCUGCUUGGAGAGCCUGUGGUAGACAAUAGAGAUUAUGUGUACAGGUAUGCUCGAGUAUUGUGUCAUUUCGCCUCCUUGGUACUGCAAGGAAGGAGACGGUGAGCGUGUACUUCGACUGUGGAAGAUCAUGAUGCUCCACUUCCAUUCUGAAAGGAAGACAAAGUACGCACUUGAGGCACUGAGGCUGCAGUUUCAAGUUGCUACUCUACAGCCAUACCUCUCUCAUCAGCUGACCUGGGGCCGCUUCGUCAAUACUCACGGUCCCAUGUGAUCUCCACAACGAGCACAUCAACAAGCUGUUCAAAGAUAUAAUCUCAAACAUGGGUGCGAACUUUUCGAAAGCAGCCAGUACCUGGGCAGCAAGAGCCCUCGAGACACUCUCCGUCAGUUUUGAUAAGCAGACCGGCAUCCACCCUCUAGCAACAGCCCACAGCAAAAGAUCAGACGAGAAGGACGUGAAGACUUCCCCAAGUUCCCCCUGCAUAAAUUAAACAGACAAAAGAUGACCACAUGGAGUACACAAUGAGCGAAACUGCUAUGAGAACUGGCUCCGACACUGAGGAUGCAGACAUGUACCAGUGCCUCGUAUGGACUUGACAAUAUACCAGACACAGAGAUUUUUCAUUACGAUGAGAUCUAGUCACCUGAUUUAUAAUGAGAUUGACUACUAAUCAGUAAACUGCAAUAAUUACCUCACUUAGCAAUGGAUCGACAGUUGUCGCAGCAGAACAUCUUGUCCCGAGACUUCAUGUCCCUGGCAACAACGGGAUCGAAGUAGCAUGAAUCUCCUGCACAGCUCAGUGUUCUCAAGAUAGUCCCUCACAGCCAAGUUCCUUGGGAUGGUGAGAUCAGCCCGUACAGGAGCUUCAACUGGCCUCCAGUACACUCUAGCCAACGACUGCUGAUUAUCUCGGCCGCUCUAGUCUUCCAGUGACCUAGGGGCACCAUAGUGGAUGAUGAAGUUCUUGAAGUCCACCUCCACCCCCAUACCAAUAGCCAUCGUCGCAAACACAAUCCUGACAACACCGUCAGGCUUCCCACGAGUUUCCGAACAUUCUGUUGUCACUGAUCUGUUCAGCUCCUGGAGGGUAGUAGCCAGCAUCCUUCAAAGUGUACUUGAAGUUCUCAUACAAACUCGCGCACAUGUUCAGUGACUGGCAGUAGACAACUAUACGUCGAGCCUUGACAGUGUUGUCCAACAAGUCUGCCACAACGAAUGUAAAGUCUUCCUCAAUUGUUGUCUUUCUGACCGCCUCAUAAGGCUUGUUGGGAGACUCAGACACCAUAUAGUAGCCUGCCAUGCCAAGGUUCUGAACAACAUAGUCCCUCAUCCUCUUGGUCACAGUGGCAGUCGCAGCCAGAAAUGGCGUACGAGGAGGUCGCAGGUAUCAAAUGCAGUCUUUACUCCUGUACAUUGUGCUUCGUCAAUAGCGACUGCCACUACAGAGUCACAGAGGGGACAGGAGCUGCUUCCACGUUUCUCUGCCAAGGAGUGCCUCGGGAGCACUAUAGAGGAGGGAGAACCGACCCUCGGACACGUCACUCACACUAGCAAGGAGGUCCUUCUCGACAUCUAUGAAAUGAAGGAUGACUGUAAUAAUGCACUACGUUCAGGCAUUAAUAACUUUAUAGAUUCUAUAAUUAUAGGUACUGUAUCUACAUCUUUAUUUACCUUUGUUGCCAGACAAUAAUUAUUAUAGCAGUAGAGACACCCCUCUUCCGGAGGCCUGAGACCUGGUCUAUCAUCAGAGACACUAGUGGUGACAGCACCAGCACAACACUUCUCUCAGAGCUCGAGCUUGUCCGCUUCAGUUUGAAGUCAAACAUGAAGGGCAACAGUUGGAAGCACAAAGACUUGCCAUAGCCCGUGGGGAACCAAGCAAAGACAUCAUGACCGUCGAUGAGAGCCUCCUUUUGUGGCUUCAGUGUGAGACCAACGCAACGAAGAACAUAAGCCACAGCUUCACAAAACGCAGUCUCAGUCAAUGCCAUUGUUAUUGAAACAAUAAAAGUAACACGGAACAAAAGUAUUACAAGCUAGUUUACGGUAACAUUUACUAAAAGUUUUACUGGCGUGCACAAUUACCCAGAUUCUGGGUAAUUGUUCAGCGCAUGUGCACUAACACCCAUGCAAUGAACACCAGGCCGUAUUUUAAUCGGCGUGGAUUCGAGGCUAGGCCCCCCCCAAGCCCACC